rnacentral:rRNA from 1 species
GACGAACGCUGGCGGCGUGCCUAAUACAUGCAAGUCGAGCGAAUGAUGAGGAGCUUGCUCCUCUGAUUUAGCGGCGGACGGGUGGGUAACACGUGGGCAACCUGCCCUGUAGACUGGGAUAACUUCGGGAAACCGGAGCUAAUACCGGAUAAUUCUUUUAGCCUCAUGGCUUUAAGCUAAAAGGCGCUUCGGCGUCACUACAGGAUGGGCCCGCGGUGCAUUAGCUAGUUGGUGGGGUAACGGCCUACCAAGGCAACGAUGCAUAGCCGACCUGAGAGGGUGAUCGGCCACAUUGGGACUGAGACACGGCCCAAACUCCGACGGGAGUCAGCAGUAGGGAAUCUUCCACAAUGGACGAAAGUCUGAUGGAGCAACGCCGCGUGAGUGAUGAAGGUUUUCGGAUCGUAAAACUCUGUUGUAAGGGAAGAACAAGUGCGUUAGGUAAUGAACGCACCUUGACGGUACCUUAUUAGAAAGCCACGGCUAACUACGUGCCAGCCGCCGCAGUAA